UACGUAGGGUGCAAGCGUUAAUCGGAAUUACUGGGCGUAAAGCGUGCGCAGGCGGUUCUAUAAGACAGAUGUGAAAUCCCCGGGCUCAACCUGGGAACUGCAUUUGUGACUGUAGAGCUGGAGUACGGCAGAGGGGGAUGGAAUUCCGCGUGUAGCAGUGAAAUGCGUAGAUAUCUGGAGGAACACCGGUGGCGAAGGCGGCGUUCUGGACUGCAACUGACACUGAAAAACGAAAGCCAGGGGAGCAAACGGG
rnacentral:rRNA from 1 species